UUCGGGGAACCAGGAGACAGGUGCUGCAUGGCUGUCGUCAGCUCGUGUCGUGAGAUGUUGGGUUAAGUCCCGCAACGAGCGCAACCCUUAUCUUAAUUGCCAGCAUUCAGUUAGGCACUUUAAAGAGACUGCCGGUGUUAAACCGGAGGAAGGUGGGAUGACGUCAAGUCCUCAUGGCCUUUAUGCUUAGGGCUACACACGUGCUACAAUGGGUGGUACAAAGAGAAGCCAACUCGCGAGAGCGCGCCAAUCUCAAAAAGCCAUCCUCAGUUCGGAUUGGAGUCUGCAACUCGACUCCAUGAAGUUGGAAUCGCUAGUAAUCGCGGAUCAGCAUGCCGCGGUGGAUACGUUCCCGGGCCUU
rnacentral:rRNA from 1 species